rfam:Myotis lucifugus cont2.6930, whole genome shotgun sequence.
UGACAGUGAAAGAACAGAAACCGAGCAAUGAGACUGCAUGAGCAAUAAGACUGCACGGCUACGUUUUAAGGUUGUGAAAGCCCAGCCCAUUUGGAUCACAGCAGGCAUGGCAGG